UCAACCCCUGAAUGUAAAAACGGCAAAUCAAGGCGAUUUCUUGUUUUUUCAUUUUUUUGACAAAACGAAAAAUGAAAAUGGUGCCGUGUUCUCAUGUUUCUAUUUUCAAUAUUUAAUCAAAAAACGAAUGAACGCAACGUACACGGACCAAACACUUUUAUAAUGACCGUGUUAGUUGAUUUAUACCGGGAGAUGGGCGCCGCCAUGUUUUUUCGCGCUGAAUCCGAGCUGUGGGAUUUACACCACGUAAAUUCAUCCUCCCCUCCCGAAACACGUUAAAACUCAUUUCACUCACUGUGCCUAAGGCUUCCAGGUCACGUCACCAGGGUCUGAACAUUGUGGAAAAGCUGAAUUUUUAGCAGCCUUUACUCAAAUCAUCAGUGACACAGGAUCUUUCAGAAAACAAGUAAGUAACAUUUAAUAUUAUUAUAAUGAUUAUUAUUAUUAUGUUGUUGUAGGUGUGCUACUUAAUAUUUUUGUGGAAAUCAUAAAACAUUUUAGGAUUAAUUGAAAGGUGCUUUUUAUAAUG